UCAUAAUUUCCGCCUUUAUUUUCUUGGCAAUCCGACGUUCAUUCUCGGGUAAAUGAGAAAUGUUCUUCAUUAAGAGUUUAUAAUCCCGAGUUUUUUGCUUUUCUUUUGCAAUCUUCAACAAUUUUUCGAUAUUUUUAUUUAACCCGUCGAGCCCCGCUUUCACAUCAUCACCUUCACUUGAAUCACCUUCGGAUUCGUAUUGGGGUGUGGGUGGGCUUUGGGAUUGAGAUUGGGGUUUGAAAUUGAAAUUGAAAUUGCGCUUGAGAUUGAAAUGGAAAUUGGUUUGGUCCAUAUGAAUUAUUUCCAGGAUAAUGAUACAUGGGUGGUGGAUAGAUUGGACGAUCCAUUUGAGGUUGGUAGAAUAGAGGCGGUGGAGGGUUUGGAGAAGAAAAGUUUGCAGAAUUUUUUUUGUUAUUUGUUGGAGUUUUUUGGUUGCAUAGAGAAGCCAUUUUGAAAUUUGAAUAAUUGGAUUUGUGAAGAUUAGAGUGAUAAAAAAAUGGAAGUUAGAUGUUAAUAUUUAUAGUGGUUAAAAAAAAAGUUAAAAAUUUUGAUUUUUCAAGGUAAAAACGGCUAGUUUUUAUCUCUCUCGAAGCUACUGUUGCCGUUGGUAGCUUGCCGAGCGCCACACCGUCGGGUGAUCAGUUGUAUUCCAUCGUAGACACACUUGUCUUCCCAAUGCCGCUGUUGGGCUUCCCCAAGAUUCCACACUUAUCCUCUAUCACCGAUAGCUUUCCCAAUACACCCUUCAUUUUCAUCGGUUGAAGAAGCUGCUUUCUUCUCAGUUCUCCCUACCUCUUUCUUCCGUCUUUUUUUUUUUUUUUUUUUUUUUUUUUUACAUCUUCUUUGUAGGGUUCAUCAGUUCAAAAGUUCCUAAAUUACCCUUCAUCUCUUUUAUCUUUGUCCACCAUUCUCAUCAUCAAUUAGCAAGAAAUACGUAUAUUUCUCCUCCUCCACCACCCCCACUGUCUCCGUUUUUGGUUUUAGAAAUAUUUCAUCACCAUCUUCAUCUUUCGUUUGAAACAAAAUCGCCAAAAUAGAGCCAUUCGAUCUUCUCAACCUAUAAGAAGAAUUUAUCCAAGUAUCCCUUCUAUCUUCCAUUCAAGGGCCAACUCUUCACGUUGGCAUAUCAAUGAUUACCACAAUAUACAACACAAUAGCCUCUGAGAGAAAACUGAGUGCUUUUCUAUAUGGGGAGUUGUUGGUUAUUUACAUCUAUUGUAUUAUGGCAACUGGGAACAUUCUUAAUGGUUUUAAUCAUCAACCUCAUUACACAUGCUGAAGAUGGAGCAAAAAAAGAGCCGGAUAUAUGAUAUAAUUGCUUUUGAAGGCAUUGUGUAUUGGUCUAAUUGAAAAAAAAGCUCAAAAACAAAAUCUAAUGGAGUAAGUUCAGUGAAUAUAUGCAUCCUACAUAAAUAUUUUGUAAUUAUAUGUUUGGGAGUUUGUAUUAAUUGUUUUAGAUAUGAUAUAAUUGUUUUAGAUAGUAACGAUGGAAAUACCCAAAUUACCAACAUGUCCCUCAACUGAUUGUACUUUUUACGUUGUGUU